GUCUACAGCCCUACCACCCUGAACAUGCGCCAUCUUGUCUGAUAUCAGAAGCUAAGCAGGGUCAGGCCUGGUUAGUACUUACAUGGGAGAACUGCACAAUUAAUCUGAUUUCCUUUUUGCCUUGGUUGCCUGUAAGCA
ensembl:rRNA 5S_rRNA 5S ribosomal RNA